CAAUGGGGAAUUUUCCGCAAUUGGGGAAUUUUCCACAAUGGGCGAAAGCCUGACGGAGCAACGCCGCGUGAGGGAGGAAGGUCUUUGGAUUGUAAACCUCUUUUCUCAAGGAAGAAGUUCUGACGGUACUUGAGGAAUCAGCCUCGGCUAACUCCGUGCCAGCAGCCGCGGUAAUACGGGGGAGGCAAGCGUUAUCCGGAAUUAUUGGGCGUAAAGCGUCCGCAGGUGGUCAGCCAAGUCUGCCGUCAAAUCAGGUUGCUUAACGACCUAAAGGCGGUGGAAACUGGCAGACUAGAGAUCAGUAGGGGUAGCAGGAAUUCCCAGUGUAGCGGUGAAAUGCGUAGAGAUUGGGAAGAACAUCGGUGGCGAAAGCGUGCUACUGGGCUGUAUCUGACACUCAGGGACGAAAGCUAGGGGAGCGAAAGGGAUU
rnacentral:rRNA from 1 species